rnacentral:lncRNA from 1 species
CCCAAGUCAAUGGCUGAACCCGAGUUAACAGAUGAACUUUUAACCAAGGGGUUCACACCGGUUGGGAAUUUCAAGCUUCUCUAGCCAUUCACAGUUGCAUAUCUAACAAGCUGAGAAUUCUUUCGAGAACAGAACUACAUAAGCACAAAACAAUUGGAGAGUGUUUACAACUAAGGAGGAGCAUAAACUUUAUGCUAAACUGUCAAAGUGGUGUUGGACACUACCAAUUUACCUACACUUGGGCAUCGAUGGCAUUUCCUGUUCAAGAGCUAGUAGGAUUUGGUCAAGUAAUGCUACAUGAAGACAAACUUCAAACCUCUGGUUUCAAAUGUUCAUGAUGAAGGAUCGAGAAAGGAAUGGAUUUUCAUGAGU